GACGAACGCUGGCGGCGUGCCUAAUACAUGCAAGUCGAGCGAAGACUUCGGUCUUAGCGGCGGACGGGUGAGUAACGCGUGGGAACGUGCCCUUCUCUACGGAACAGUCUUGGGAAACCGGGUUUAAUACCGUAUACGCCCUUUUGGGGAAAGAUUUAUCGGAGAAGGAUCGGCCCGCGUUGGAUUAGGUAGUUGGUGGGGUAAUGGCCUACCAAGCCGACGAUCCAUAGCUGGUUUGAGAGGAUGAUCAGCCACACUGGGACUGAGACACGGCCCAGACUCCUACGGGAGGCAGCAGUGGGGAAUCUUAGACAAUGGGGGCAACCCUGAUCUAGCCAGGCCGCGUGAGUGAUGAAGGCCUUAGGGUUGUAAAGCUCUUUCAGCUGGGAAGAUAAUGACGGUACCAGCAGAAGAAGCCCCGGCUAACUCCGUGCCAGCAGCCGCAGUAAAC
rnacentral:rRNA from 1 species